rnacentral:rRNA from 1 species
GGCUUUUUGAUGAUAAUUUAAGGUUUGACCUGCCCAAUGAUUUAAAUAUUAAAUGGCCGCGGUACUUUGACCGUGCAAAGGUAGCAUAAUCAUUAGUUUUUUAAUUGAAAGCUUGUAUGAAAGGUUUGAUGAAAAAAAAACUGUCUUUAUUUAAAUUUUAUAGAAAUUUAUUUUUAAGUUAAAAAGCUUAAAUAUAUAUUAAAGACGAGAAGACCCUAUAGAGUUUUAUAUUUUUUAUAAAAUUAUUAUGUUUUAGGAUUUUUUAAUGAUUUUUUAAAUUUUAUUUAGUUGGGGUGAUUUAAAAAUUGAAUAAACUUUUUUAUUUAUAUUUACAUUGAUAUAUGAAAUUUUGAUCCUUAUUAAAGAUUAAUAGAUAAAAUUACCUUAGGGAUAACAGCGUAAUUUUUUUUAGAGUUCUUAUCAAAAAAAAAGAUUGCGACCUCGAUGUUGGAUUAAAAUUAAUUAUUGGUGUAGAAGCUAAUAAAUUAGGUCUGUUCGACCUUUAAAAUUUUACAUGAUCUGAGUUUAAACCGGUGUAAG